UGAAAAACUUCCAUGAAUGUGGGAAGGCACGUGAAGGAGGACAGAAGGGUUUGGGAGCAACCUGUUGGAAUGAAAACUGAAUGCCUGGAAUCUCAGACACAAAUGUGUCUCAAAUGAGAAGGAAUGGACAACCCCUUCCAUUGACUGAGCUGCAAGACAAUACAAUUUUAAGCAUUUCCUCUAUAUUGAAGAUACCUGGAUAUAAGCUCUACUGGACUGAGUGGGAAUUUCAACACACGUAGCAUUGAAAAUGGUAGCAUUAUUUCUUCACAUGCUCAGUGGUUAAUAAUAUCGGUGGGCUUUGUCUCAUUGGUAAUUCUGUUAUUACAAAAAUAAUCAUGAUACCUUAUAAACUAUUAUAGCAUACACUUGAUACAGCAUGAUGUAUUUAAAAUCUUAUUAAUUAUAAUUAAUUCCUCCAAAAAAGAAAGAAAGGGGGGAAGAGAUUAAUGGCUAGUACAAGAGUAGAUGUUGAAGUUCUGCACUGCUAGCAUCUGUCUUCAAUAGAAAUUCCUUCAAUAAAUAAUUUUACAGAGU
rnacentral:lncRNA from 11 species